rnacentral:tRNA from 1 species
GGGGAUGUGGCUCAAGUGGUAGUGCGCUCCCCUGGCAUGGGCGGGGUUCUGGGUUCAAUCCUCAGCACCACA